UACGGAGGGGGCUAGCGUUGUUCGGAAUUACUGGGCGUAAAGCGCACGUAGGCGGCUUUGUAAGUUAGAGGUGAAAGCCCGGGGCUCAACUCCGGAAUUGCCUUUAAGACUGCAUCGCUAGAAUUGUGGAGAGGUAAGUGGAAUUCCCAGUGUAGAGGUGAAAUUCGUAGAUAUUGGGAAGAACACCGGUGGCGAAGGCGGCGACCUGGUCCUUGACUGACGCUGAGGCGCGAAAGCGUGGGGAGCAAACAGG
rnacentral:rRNA from 1 species